GUCGGGUUGUUUGUGAAUGCAGCCCAAAGUGGGUGGUAAACUCCAUCCAAGGCUAAAUACAAGCACGAGUCCGAUAGUAAACAAGUACCGUGAGGGAAAGUUGAAAAGUACUUUGAAGAGAGAGUAAACAGUGCGUGAAACCGCUYAGAGGUAAACGGGUGGAGUUGAACUGCUUGUUCUGUGAAUUCAGCUGGUGACUGUAUUAUGAUCUUGGUUAUWUUGAUUGGACAGCGGGGUCUGUGUAGCAGCAGGUCUUUGCCUUCGGGUGAGGAUGCGCGAUUUACUUAUCAAGUAAUGUGCGCCYCGUUUGUUCUUCGAAUCGGUUGCCAGUGCACUUUCUCAGAGCGCUCAUCACGACCGGCACUGCUGUCUGGCUGUURUGGUUAAACCGRUUUGGCAUAGUUCUUGUAGCUUUGUCGARUCGGGAYGGCAGGUAGCUCGUUGGCUUGCUUGUGGUUCGCUGCAGGUGUUYGGCUUUCGGGUGUAAUCAGCUGACCAUGAUGGUUCUGUACAGUGUGUCGGAGACRGCGGCKUGUGGUGUGUGCAUGUGUGGUGGUUUGCAGGCRUCUCUGGGUUUGGUUGCCUUGUUCGCU
rnacentral:rRNA from 1 species